rnacentral:rRNA from 1 species
UACGUAGGGUGCAAGCGUUAAUCGGAAUUACUGGGCGUAAAGCGUGCGCAGGCGGUUUUGUAAGUCUGACGUGAAAUCCCCGGGCUCAACCUGGGAAUUGCGUUGGAGACUGCAAGUCUGGAGUCUGGCAGAGGGGGGUAGAAUUCCACGUGUAGCAGUGAAAUGCGUAGAGAUGUGGAGGAACACCGAUGGCGAAGGCAGCCCCCUGGGUCAAGACUGACGCUCAUGCACGAAAGCGUGGGGAGCAAACAGG